rfam:Clostridium acidisoli DSM 12555 genome assembly, contig: EJ29DRAFT_scaffold00009.9
UUAAUUGAGAGUUUGAUCCUGGCUCAGGACGAACGCUGGCGGCGUGCUUAACACAUGCAAGUCGAGCGAGAAACCUUCGGGUUUCUAGCGGCGGACGGGUGAGUAACACGUGGGUAACCUGCCUCAAAGUGGGGGAUAGCCUUCCGAAAGGAAGAUUAAUACCGCAUAACAUUGUAGCUUCGCAUGAAGCAACAAUUAAAGGAGUAAUCCGCUUUGAGAUGGACCCGCGGCGCAUUAGCUAGUUGGAGAGG